rnacentral:misc_RNA from 1 species
GAAUUUUCAUUCGCUUUUACAUUUAAUUGGUGACGAAAUGCUAAGAAAGAGAAGAAUUUUUUUUCAGUAUUACCUUUAUUUUAUUUUUCUUUAAUUUUGUUUAGGAACUGGAAGUGUGAAUGAGGCUAAUUUCGACUGGAAAAUUGAUUAAUAGAAAAUGCAUAACUGGAAAUUUCCAAAGUAAUAUGAACUUGGGAAACCCAAAUAAAUCUCCUUUCUCAAACUUGAUCAAACCCCAACAAUUGAGGUGUUU